GUCUUGAACAGAUGUUUCACCGGCGUCAUACUGUAACAAGCCGCGAGUGGUGUUCUCGGAUAAUGCACCACAAAGGCCAGACACAUUUCCUGAGAUGCUGCGUAUCCUCCCAAUGUGGGUUUCGUCCUGUCCAACGUACCGUAAACACACUCAGCCAGCAAUUCGUCUCCCGGAAGCACUUUCACCUCCUUCUCGAGAACUCAAACGACGACCGGCCAAGUGAGAAUGCAAGACCACCGAAACGAUGUUCACUCCGCCUUCGGGGAACAUCUGUAACGAAACUUAACAUCGUUUUUCAACGCGCGUUCGAAGAUUCGAGGGGCGAGAGGUAGGACGCGUCGGCCGAUUCGAGCCAUUCGAGCCAGCCAGCACCGCUCCGCGCGGUCUUUCCUCGCAACGAUGCUGAAAGAUUCGCGUAGCCUCCCCCCGCCGAUGUCUGGAGGCCUUGACUGGGGGACCCUUUGGAACCAACUGCCAGGACACAACAUACCUAUGCCCCUUGAGAAGGGGCCUUUUCUUACACACCUUCGUGCUUCCUCGUGUGUUCGUCACGUAUUCGGUCACGCAACCUUUCGCACACUUUCACCUACCGCUUCUACCCAGCGUAUACGUGUUUCUCUUUCUGCAUCCGUGUACUCCGUAUCGGCCGUGUACCAUCGCCUGUGGCACGAUUUGCCCGCGGGCUGUUGGCGUAUUCGAAUUUACGCGGGCUUGAUUUUCUAUCUGCCGCGUGAAACACGGUUCUCGUCCGAACAAACAGCGAUUAUUCGUUAAAAUAUUCGAUGGCGGAACAAGUUGCCGAUAAACUCCGAUUAAAUCGCCUCUGAUACGAUUCGCGUCCGUUGAUAUCGUCGAACGUUUCAUCUCUCUAUAUAUAUAUUUUUAACAGCUCUCUAGAUAUCACCUAUAUACGAUAAAUCGAAAAGUACAGGAAAACCAUAACGUUAUGAAGGCUGUUUUUGAAAUUUAUCUGACAAUUUACUUGAUUCAAUAAACGAUUAAUAAAAACG